rnacentral:pre_miRNA from 1 species
UUAACUCAAAUUUGUAUGCAGUUGGAACGGUUGUCGCUCUCAGUCUCGCUGUCAGGGGCUCUGUUCUAACUGCAUACAAGUUUGAGUUA